CACCUUCACUCUCUAACUUAUCCGCCAAACUCUUUGACCUCACCUCACCUUCACUUCCUUCCCUACCUACUCAUGUACUCCUUUCAGUUCAGAUCCACAAAUCUCUCUCUCCCUCCACUCUUUCACUCUCUCCCCUUUACCUUCAUACUACAUCCAAACUCCAGUCUUCCAUUUUCUUUUUGCAUUGGACAACUUCCUCUACAUUUGAUAAUCAAUACAGCCACCUCUACUUCCUUCUACUUCUCUCUUCCUUAAGCAUCAAUGCUGGAAAUAGCAGGCUAAGGGUGGAUUCUGGAUGGAUUCCUCGUCGACCUGUUAUUUUUCUUUUUAAUGGGGCUGAAGAGCUUUUCUUGUUGGUGGUUCCUUCGGCAAAGUAGGUUGCUUCAAGGCUGCUUAUGUCAAGAUCAAUUGCGAUGAAUUGUUUUGGGAUUUCAUCGAGACAUACAAACAUGCAAUUCCAUAAGGGGUUCGCAUCAAGUGGGUAAAGGAUGAUAGUAGCCAUAAACCAUGUAGUGAAGUUGCCAAGGCUUGGAAUAGAGCUAUCAAAUUCCAUCCAUACUACUUUGUGUGGGGAUUCACUUUUCCCACGUCGUGCUUUUCCAAGAGGUGAUAUGUUACAUGAAGUGCAGGCCUGCUCAAUGUUCCCCGAAUGCUUGCGUAAUGGUGGAGUUCGCAAACUUAAACAAGUUCUUUGAUCUAGGCUUGACCAUUAAUGAGUUAUGGUACUUUUUCAAGAUUGGCCAUAAGGAAAGUGUGGGGCAAUUGAGGUCUCACUAGAGGUUGUUUAAUGCUUCCUGCAAAGGUGAUCAUGAGUAGGUGAGAGAUACCUUAGAGGUUAGCGAGGAAUGAGAGUUCAACUCCUCGCCUGAGCUACGCGUUCUGAUUGAAAUUAUCAAUGGUAAGUAAAUUGCUUCAUUCUUGGUCUGCUUGGAAUUUUGGUUGAGCUGCCCUCGACUUUAAUUUAUUGAUCAUCCUUCUUACUUUGUCUAGAUUCAAAAUUUGGCUCAACUCCAAGAACUUCAUCGAUUGAGAAAAAGCCGAAGACUUUUUCUGCUGCUUGUGAAGGCCCAUUUGCUACUAAAAAGCUUGUCAUUGAUCUGACUUAUCCCAAAGGGGAGAAAAACAUUGUUAAGUCUAACCUUGCAAAAUCUGUUGCUCUGAAGGUGGCCACGACCAUUGCCGAGAGGAUUGCUCAGCGUAAGGGUUCUAUGGUGCCCCUAAUGUCUAGGUUUGUAUCGAAACAUCCGUUUGGAGCCAAGUCUGGUUUGGCUUUUGAGAAACUCGCCACUAUGAAGAGUGGAAAUGUGGAUUCUGCUGCUAAGGUGGCACUAGGGCCUGUUCAUCAUACAUAUAUGACUGAUUCGUUUGUUGAGAAGGAGAAGUCUACUCAUGUGGACAGUUAUGAAAAGUCCACCAAAUCUGUUUAUGAGGAAUUUCCCGAGAUUUGUGCACUGCUGAAAGUUGACUUGUUUGAGGACGUUAAUGUAUACACCAAGUUUGUUAAUAGUGUUGUGAAGGUAUUUCGCUCAAACUAUUUUAAGGAGCAUCCUGCCUAUUCAAGAAUGUCUUCCCUGCUUACUACUAUGCAAAAUAUUUUGAUCUUGGUAGUUGAGUCCAUGCGAUUGAUCUGGAUGCUACUAAAGUUGCCAAGGAGGUCAAGGCGGUGUUGAUGGCUCAACUUAGCUUAGCUGCUAAAAAGAUUGAAAAACUCAAAUAUGAACUCGCUAUUUUGAAGGGUAUGAUGUCUCUACCCCCACUUUUGUUCAGUUGGAAACCAUUCACUAGGAAGUUGGCAGUUUGAAAGCUAAGCUUAAUGCGAUUGGGGCGAUGUUGGAAGCUACAAAAAAGGAAGUUGAUUGGUUUGCACCAAUGGUUCAGGACUUUGAGUGUGUCGACUUGUUAUGCCAAGGACAAGAAUUUAUCUUCCCGCCUAAUUGUCGAUGCAAAUUUCCUCCUUGUUCUUGGACAAAAUUGCACCUACAAAACAAAUAACAGCUUAAGUCAAGGCCAAGAGCCUUACACACCCACGAUGAUUUUUGGGGGGGGGGGUUUGGCCGAAGAACCUCCAAUACCAAAGUUAGAAUUUUGAGGGAAAAGUGUUUGGAGAAUUUAGCAAGAGGAUUCAACUUGGGUUUUUGGAGAAAAUGGGGUGAUAUUUAUAAGGAUGUGGCCGGCCGCUUUGGGAGAGAUGGGGACCAGCCACUUAUGUGGUUUUUUGGGUGUGAUUCACAAUUUAUUAGCUAAUUAAUAAAUUAAUUGAGUAAUAAAUCAAUUAAUUAGCUAAUUAAUAUAAUUUGAAAGGAAUGAUUUGGGGGUUACCUUAUGGAGAGGAUUUAAUGAGGAUAGAUAAAAUAGGUUUUGAAUAAUUAUCUAUUUUGGCACUUUUGACCUUGAUUGAAUUAUGAUUGUCCAUUGCUUGCGUGUAGGAGUUCCAGUAUUCAUCAAGGGUAAUUUUGUCAUUUUCACCCUAGAAUCCACGUGUCGCCUCCAUAUUUUUCUCAAUUAUUUUUGGCUCCACAAUAAUGAAGUGUCUUGUCUCAAGGAUGUUGCCAGUAAGCUUGAAUCCAAGGAAGUGGAAUUGCAAGGUACGUUGUCUGAUAGCGAGAACCUGAAUCAUGAAUUAGAUAAGUUGUAGGAUUGUCACACUAGUCUUGUUAAAGAGAAUGAGCAGCUGAAAAAUGAGAGGGUCAGUCACGACGUUGCACUUUCUUCUUGUCAGACUGAUUUCUACAAGCUUGGCUAUGUAGACUAUUUCUAGGGUAGGCCGUUGAAUUAUGAAUUUUCCAAGAAAGAAUUCGGGACUCACUCCAUUUUUCCAGUGAAUCUGCCUAACUUCUCAUUGAGGCUACCUUUGGUGGAGCAAUUGAGGGUGAGACUGUCCAGGCAGAGGCGACUAAGGAUGAAAUGAUGGAAUCUUUGGCUAUUGAGAGCGGUAUGGUUGCUGAAGGCAUGACAAUCGAGGAUCCAAUGAUCGUGCAGGUUGUCAAUGAGUAGUCUUCCUACUCAGACUUAGGAAUUUUCUUGUUUCUUUCCUUUUGCUCUGCUUUGUUUAAACUUUGUUGGCAUUUGAGCUAGUUUAUCAAUUUGCUAGAAAUUUAAUAAACUACUUACUUUGCUUUACUUAAUUCUUGCAAUUUCGCUAUGUUUUUGCAAAACUUUACCGUAGGAUGGGUGGUUGGGCGAGCUGCUUUGAUGAAGCAAUCGAUCCCAUGCAACCACUUUAGGUUUUAGUUUUGGCUUGAGGGCUUCAAGAGCCUUGCUUGCUUGGGGCGAUUUGCAAAACUUUGCCAUAAGACGAGUGGCUGGGCAAGUUGCUUCGACAAAGCAAUUGAUCCCACAUCGUCACUUUAGGCUUGACUCUUGGCUUUGAUGCUUCAAGUGCCUUGCCUACUUGAGAUAAUUUGUAAGACUUUGCCAUAGGACGGGCGGCUGGGCGAGCUGCUUCGACGAAGCAGUUGAAUCGACGUCGUCACUUUAGGCUUUAGUCUGUCUUUACUAGUUCCCAGUAUUCAUGUUCUAUUGCAAAAAUGCUAAUAUGAUUUUUCAUCUUUAAACACUUAGGAAAAAUUGUUCUGGACAACAAUGUUCCCACGAUGAUUUUCAUCAAUGGGGACAUACCAAAAGCAGCCCCUUACAAAUGAAUAGGCUUCUCAGAAGUCUCAAAUAAGUAUAACGUUUAUUUAAUAUGUUGAAAUUGAUUGUGAAUGUAAAAAAAAAAUAAAAAAUUAAGUAUAUGUGAUAAUUUUUAAGUUUUGCACCAAAACCUAUUAACUAUUCGACCUAUUAACCAUUUGGAACAAGUCUUUUGAUUCAUACUUCAGCAACGCAGGUUUGAAUUUUAUAGAGCUAUGUUUUAUGAAUUUGUUUUCAUGAUUAUUAUCCGGUUUAGAGUUAUUGUUAAUUAACGAAGAAUUGUUUCAAUUAGGGUUAUCUGAAUUAUAAAUUUGAACUAUGGGUGAAAUGGAUUUGUGUUGGUGCUAUGCAAAUUGUUAAGAUUGUUGAAGGUACAAGUGACCAUUAUUUUGAUUGAUAUUGAUAUCAUGUGCCUACGGAAGACGCACCUUUUCAAGAUCCUGCAACUGCUGAGUUUGUUCCCUUGGAGACAAAGACAUGCGUGCUGCCAUUGAGAGUAAUUCUAAGGAUGAAGAUUUAGAAAAUGAUGCUGUCUCCUAUCCGAACAAGGUCCAGAAGAAGCUGAUCCAACUCAAACUUAGACUCUGCAGCAUCAACCAUACCUUUGUACUUAUCUCUGCAGCAUCAACCAUGCUUUUGUGCUCUAGGUUUCAAGAUAGUUUGCCGCUUGAGGCUCCUGGAAUCUACUCAUUAAACAAAUUUGAUGUUUCGAUUCCACUGGUUUUACUUUGUACAGAAAAUUAAAUGGGUGAAUGUAAAUGAAAUUUAAUCUUGCCAUCA